UACGGAGGGGGCUAGCGUUGUUCGGAAUUACUGGGCGUAAAGCGCGCGUAGGCGGACCUGCAAGUCGGGGGUGAAAGCCCGAGGCUCAACCUCGGAACUGCCUUCGAUACUGCGGGUCUCGAGUCCGGGAGAGGUGAGUGGAAUUCCUAGUGUAGAGGUGAAAUUCGUAGAUAUUGGGAAGAACACCGAUGGCGAAGGCAGCCAUCUGGACCGACACUGACGCUGAGGCGCGAAAGCGUGGGGAGCAAAAGGGAGUUAG
rnacentral:rRNA from 1 species